rnacentral:tRNA from 1 species
GGGGUUGUACUCAAUGGUAGAGCACUUGCCUCGAAUGCAAGAGGCACUGGGUUCAAUCCUCAGCUACCACA